rnacentral:rRNA from 1 species
GAUGAACGCUGGCGGCGUGCUUAACACAUGCGAGUCGAACGAUGAAGCCCAGCUUGCUGGGUGGAUUAGUGGCGAACGGGUGAGUAACACGUGAGUAACCUGCCCUUAACUCUGGGAUAAGCCUGGGAAACUGGGUCUAAUACCGGAUAGGAGCGUCCACCGCAUGGUGGGUGUUGGAAAGAUUUAUCGGUUUUGGAUGGACUCGCGGCCUAUCAGCUUGUUGGUGAGGUAAUGGCUCACCAAGGCGACGACGGGUAGCCGGCCUGAGAGGGUGACCGGCCACACUGGGACUGAGACACGGCCCAGACUCCUACGGGAGGCAGCAGUGGGGAAUAUUGCACAAUGGGCGCAAGCCUGAUGCAGCGACGCCGCGUGAGGGAUGACGGCCUUCGGGUUGUAAACCUCUUUCAGUAGGGAAGAAGCGAAAGUGACGGUACCUGCAGAAGAAGCACCGGCUAACUACGUG